rnacentral:rRNA from 1 species
AUUGAACGCUGGCGGCAGGCCUAACACAUGCAAGUCGAGCGGAUGAAGGGAGCUUGCUCCUGGAUUCAGCGGCGGACGGGUGAGUAAUGCCUAGGAAUCUGCCUGGUAGUGGGGGAUAACGUCCGGAAACGGGCGCUAAUACCGCAUACGUCCUGAGGGAGAAAGUGGGGGAGCUUCGGACCUCACGCUAUCAGAUGAGCCUAGGUCGGAUUAGCUAGUUGGUGGGGUAAAGGCCUACCAAGGCGACGAUCCGUAACUGGUCUGAGAGGAUGAUCAGUCACACUGGAACUGAGACACGGUCCAGACUCCUACGGGAGGCAGCAGUGGGGAAUAUUGGACAAUGGGCGAAAGCCUGAUCCAGCCAUGGCGCGUGUGUGAAGAAGGUCUUCGGAUUGUAAAGCACGUUAAGUUGGGAGGAAGGGCAGUAAGUUAAUACCUUGCUGUUUUGACGGUACCAACAGAAUAAGCACCGGCUAACUUCGUG